rnacentral:lncRNA from 7 species
GUUAGUACAAAGUAGUAAAUCCUUAAAACAGUUACAAAAUACAGCAGGAGUACCAGAGUUGGGUCUCCGGUGUUGAAGUAAAACCCCAGGUGUGGUGACACGUGGUUUUGGUUCCAUUUGGGCUCUAGGCCUUAUUUUUCUUUUUUUUUUUUUCUUUUCUCGAGACAAGGUUUCUCUGUGUAGCCCUGGCUGUCCUGGAACUCACUUUGUAGACCAGGCUGGCCUGGAACUCAGAAAUCCAUCUGCCUCUACCUCCCGAGUGCUGGGAUUAAAGACGUGUGCCACCACACCGGGCCUUAGGCCUGGUUCUUAAAAGGCAGAGAGCCUGCAGAUGGUAGAAAUCUGGCUGCUGUGCCAAUACCUAAGGAAAGCCUCCCGGCAAAAGGAAGGAAUCCCAGGUACUGGGAUUAAGGGUGUGUGUUACCACACCAGGCCCUCAUUUCAAAUCUUUAUGUUGAAAGGGAAUAAAACUGUAAUUCAUGUAAUGUAUGUUAAAUAGCCCAAAGAGUUGUUUCUGAGCUUUGAAACCUGGGGCUGAGAACAUAGCAGAACAGACCAGGACAUGCCCGGGCAAGCCCAUCGCCUCCCUAGCUCCCACCCCUCUGACCUAAGUUAAAUGUUACAGGCUGCUGAUGUGAAACCGCGCCAAUUCCUCCCCCAGCCCCACUCCUUUUCUAUAAAAACCCCUAGCUUCCAAGCCUCGUGGUCGAAUCCACUGUCUCCUGUUAUGUGAGAUACGUUUCGACCCGGAGCUCCGCCAUUAAAAAAACCUCUUGUUGUUACAUCAAGGUGUUGUGUUCUAUUCGUGAUUCUUGGGUGCACGCCGAAUCGGGAGCUGAGUGGGGGUUUCCCCACUGAGUUCUUUCAAUGUCACAUAUGUGAGUGCACUGUCACUGACUUCAGACACACCAGAAGAGGGCAUCAGAUCCCAUUACAGAUGGUUCUGAGCCACCACGUGGUUGCUGAGUUCAGGACUUCUAGAAGAGCAGUCAGUGAUAACUGCUGAGCUAUCUAUCUCCAGCCCCUUAACUCAAACCUUUAAUUGUACUUCUUUUGUGUGCGUGUCCAUGGGUAGGUAUGGGCCAAUGGAUGGCAUAGAACAUCAAGGUCAGAGAACAGCUUGCAGGAAUUGGUUUUCUCCUUUGAUAGCAGGCAUCUCUAGUCCUACAGCCUGUGUUCUUUUCUGGAGUGCCAGUCAUGACUGAGUUGUGUUGAAGGGAAAUGUCCUGUUCUUGGUAUGGAAGCUGUGGGGUAAAUGGUACGUGGACAGUUGCCAGCUUAGUGUUAAUGCAUUUGGCUCACUGACUCUUCCUUCGGUCUAGGAAACCUAAGGUGCUGGAGCUAGAAGAGACUUGAUAGCACUUCAGAGACCAUCAGGCUGUUUCGUGGAACUUCCACCAAAGAGAUGCAGAAAUGGAGACUCCAGAGCUGGAGAGAGAGAGAUGACUCAACUGUUAAAAGCACUGACUGCUCUUCCAGAGGUCCUGAGUUCAAUUCCCAGCAACCACAUGGUGGCUCACAAUUAUCUGUAAUGGGGAUCCGAUGCCCUCCUCUGGUGUGUCUGAAGACAGUGAUGGUGUACUGACAUAUAUGAAGUAAAUAAGUAAAUUAAUAAAUAGAAAUGAGACUCC